rnacentral:rRNA from 1 species
AAAAUGUUGUCUCUCUUGAGUGGAUCCUGAGUACGACGGAGCACGUGAAAUUCCGUCGGAAUCUGGGAGGACCAUCUCCUAAGGCUAAAUACUCUCUAGUGACCGAUAGUGAACCAGUACCGUGAGGGAAAGGUGAAAAGCACCCCGGAAGGGGAGUGAAAUAGAACCUGAAACCGUGUGCUUACAAGUAGUCAGAGCCCGUUAAUGGGUGAUGGCGUGCCUUUUGUAGAAUGAACCGGCGAGUUACGAUUUGAUGCAAGGUUAAGCAGUAAAUGUGGAGCCGUAGCGAAAGCGAGUCUGAAUAGGGCGUUUAGUAUUUGGUCGUAGACCCGAAACCAGGUGAUCUACCCUUGGUCAGGUUGAAGUUCAGGUAACACUGAAUGGAGGACCGAACCGACUUACGUUGAAAAGUGAGCGGAUGAACUGAGGGUAGCGGAGAAAUUCCAAUCGAACCUGGAGAUAGCUGGUUCUCUCCGAAAUAGCUUUAGGGCUAGCCUCAAGUGAUGAUUAUUGGAGGUAGAGCACUGUUUGGACGAGGGGCCCCUCUCGGGUUACCGAAUUCAGACAAACUCCGAAUGCCAAUUAAUUUAACUUGGGAGUCAGAACAUGGGUGAUAAGGUCCGUGUUCGAAAGGGAAACAGCCCAGACCACCAGCUAAGGUCCCAAAAUAUAUGUUAAGUGGAAAAGGAUGUGGCGUUGCCCAGACAACUAGGAUGUUGGCUUAGAAGCAGCCAUCAUUUAAAGAGUGCGUAAUAGCUCACUAGUCGAGUGACACUGCGCCGAAAAUGUACCGGGGCUAAACAUAUUACCGAAGCUGUGGAUUGUCCUUUGGACAAUGGUAGGAGAGCGUUCUAAGGGCGUUGAAGCAUGAUCGUAAGGACAUGUGGAGCGCUUAGAAGUGAGAAUGCCGGUGUGAGUAGCGAAAGACGGGUGAGAAUCCCGUCCACCGAUUGACUAAGGUUUCCAGAGGAAGGCUCGUCCGCUCUGGGUUAGUCGGGUCCUAAGCUGAGGCCGACAGGCGUAGGCGAUGGAUAACAGGUUGAUAUUCCUGUACCACCUAUA